rnacentral:rRNA from 1 species
AUUGAACGCUGGCGGCAUGCCUUACACAUGCAAGUCGAACGGCAGCGGGGACUUCGGUCCGCCGGCGAGUGGCGAACGGGUGAGUAAUGUAUCGGAACGUACCAUUGAGUGGGGGAUAACGUAGCGAAAGUUACGCUAAUACCGCAUAUUCUCUCCGGAGGAAAGCAGGGGACCGCAAGGCCUUGCGCUCCUUGAGCGGCCGAUAUCAGAUUAGCUAGUUGGUGGGGUAAAAGCUCACCAAGGCGACGAUCUGUAGCGGGUCUGAGAGGAUGAUCCGAUACACUGGAACUGAGACACGGUCCAGACUCCUACGGGAGGCAGCAGUGGGGAAUUUUGGACAAUGGGGGCAACCCUGAUCCAGCCAUGCCGCGUGAGUGAAGAAGGCCUUCGGGUUGUAAAGCUCUUUCGGCCGGGAAAAAAUCGCAUGGGUUAACACCCUGUGUGGAUGAUGGUACCGGAAUAAGAAGCACCGGCUAACUACGUGCCAGCCGCCGCAGUAA